rnacentral:rRNA from 1 species
UACGGAGGGUGCAAGCGUUAUCCGGAAUCACUGGGUUUAAAGGGUGCGUAGGCGGCAUUAUAAGUCAGAGGUGAAAGCUUGCAGCUUAACUGUGAAAUUGCCUUUGAUACUGUAGUGCUUGAAUUAGGUUGAGGUUAGCGGAAUGUGACAUGUAGCGGUGAAAUGCAUAGAUAUGUCAUAGAACACCAAUUGCGAAGGCAGCUAACUAGACUUAUAUUGACGCUGAGGCACGAAAGCGUGGGGAGCGAACAGG